rnacentral:rRNA from 1 species
UACGGGGGGGGCUAGCGUUGCUCGGAAUCACUGGGCGUAAAGCGCACGUAGGCGGACUCUUAAGUCGGUGGUGAAAUCCUGGAGCUCAACUCCAGAACUGCCUUCGAUACUGAGAGUCUCGAGUCCGAGAGAGGUGAGUGGAACUGCGAGUGUAGAGGUGAAAUUCGUAGAUAUUCGCAAGAACACCAGUGGCGAAGGCGGCUCACUGGCUCGGUACUGACGCUGAGGUGCGAAAGCGUGGGGAGCAAACAGG